rnacentral:rRNA from 1 species
CAGCAGCCACGGGAAUACGGAGGGAGCUAGCGUUGUUCGGAAUUACUGGGCGUAAAGCGCACGUAGGCGGUUAUUCAAGUCAGAGGUGAAAGCCCGGGGCUCAACCCCGGAACUGCCUUUGAAACUAGAUGACUGGAAUCUUGGAGAGGUCAGUGGAAUUCCGAGUGUAGAGGUGAAAUUCGUAGAUAUUCGGGAGAACACCAGUGGCGGAGGCGACUGACUGGACAAGUAUUGACGCUGAGGUGCGAAAGCGUGGGGAGCAAACAGGAUUAGAUACCCCUGUAGUCCCUGUCUCUUAUAC